CAUCUACAAGGUAACCAGAGGAGAUGACAUGGAGAAUGUCAUGCAUAUACCCUCAGAAGAACAGAAACUUAAAUUACCUCUUUUUAUAAAAAGAUAUAACUCAGGAACAACCAGAUGGAAGAGCAGUCCAGGACAAGGUUCUCUGAAUCUACAGAAAGCUGUCAGAGACUUCAACUCUGGUUCAGUCGCUCCAUUACCAUUGGCUUGAAUUAGAAAAUACAUCAGUCCUGUGUCCAACUCACAAAACUUAGACCCAGAAGGAAAAAUAAAUUCCUUGUGAGGUCAUCCCUCUAGUCUGAACACUAUCUGGUAGACUCCUUGAGCCACUAAAAUGGCAAAGAUCUUGGAUGUCUGCCCAGCUGUCAGACAGAAUGGAAGAGACAAGGAAAGUGGCCAGGAGCAGUGGCGCACGAGAACAUGGAGCCUGAACAGGAAAACAGAGGAGAUGGAACAGUGCUACAUAAUGAUUAGAGCAACUUACAUGGGACCGAAGAAAAGCACAUCUGUAUUCCGUCAAAAAGAGUGCCAGAAAAUCCAGGAACAGAGCUGGUGGCUUUUUUGUCUUGAAAAGCCAAACAAAAAGUAAAGGAAUAGAAAAAAGUAGAGGCAGAGCUGAGAUGAUUGUAAGCUAUAUUUGGUAAAGUGAUCUGGGUGUGAGUAUGUGUCUGCAAAUUCUAGCUUGUUCCUCAGUGCUCGACACUUCCUCAGUCUGCAUUCACAGCCAGCAGUCUGAUUACUGACCUUUAUAGAAAGAAGUCUGCUGAGAUGGGGAAAUUUCAACAGUUCACUUAGCAAGCUCGACGCGGAGGGGAUCCUUCUUUCUGCAGUUUUACUUUUUCAGAUGGGCUAGUUACUUAUCUGAAGGGAGUUAAGAGGUCCAGCAACUCUUGAAUCCUCAUCCUGUGAGCUUGAGAUGUGUUUUCCAAGAAGGUUCUUUUUAGGCGUUUGAAAUAUUGAGAACA